GACGAACGCUGGCGGCGUGCCUAAUACAUGCAAGUCGAGCGAAUCACUGGGAGCUUGCUCCCGGUGGUUAGCGGCGGACGGGUGAGUAACACGUGGGCAACCUGCCUGUAAGACUGGGAUAACACCGGGAAACCGGUGCUAAUACCGGAUAAUCCUUUUCUGCUCAUGCAGGAAAGCUGAAAGUCGGUUUCGGCUGACACUUACAGAUGGGCCCGCGGCGCAUUAGCUAGUUGGUGAGGUAACGGCUCACCAAGGCGACGAUGCGUAGCCGACCUGAGAGGGUGAUCGGCCACACUGGGACUGAGACACGGCCCAGACUCCUACGGGAGGCAGCAGUAGGGAAUCUUCCACAAUGGACGAAAGUCUGAUGGAGCAACGCCGCGUGAGCGAUGAAGGCCUUCGGGUCGUAAAGCUCUGUUGUUAGGGAAGAACAAGUACCGGAGUAACUGCCGGUACCUUGACGGUACCUAACCAGAAAGCCACGGCUAACUACGUGCCAGCCGCCGCGGUAACAC
rnacentral:rRNA from 1 species